CCUGUUCGAGCGUCAUUUGUACCCUCAAGCAUUGCUUGGUGUUGGGCGAUUGUCCGUUUAAGGACUCGCCUUAAAUAUAUUGGCAGCUGGUAUUCUGGUUUUAAGCGUAGCACAAUUACGUUUUCCUCGAGAGCGCCCGCAUCCACAAAGUACAUAUCACGUUUGACCUCGGAUCAGGUAGGGAUACCCGCUGAACUUAA
rnacentral:misc_RNA from 1 species